CCUUCUGCCUGGGACGUCAGCGGACGGGGAGCUCGCGGGCCGGGGCUGUAUGGGGCUCCCACGCGGGCCGUUCUUCUGGCUGCUGCUCCUGCUCACGGCUGCCUGCUCGGGGCUCCUCUUUGCCCUGUAUUUCUCGGCGGUGCAGCGGUACCCGGAGCCAGCGGCCGGAGCCAGGGACACCACAUCAUUUCAAGCAUCCUUUCAACCCAAGGCAUCGAAUUCUUGGACAGGAAAGGGCCAGGCCUGCCGACACCUGCUUCACCUGGCCAUUCAGCAGCACCCCCACUUCCGUGGCCUGUUCAAUCUCUCCGUCCCAGUGCUGCUCUGGAGGGACCUCUUCACCCCAGAGCUCUGGGACCGCCUGAGCCAACACAAAGCCCCGUAUGGCUGGCGGGGGCUCUCUCACCAAGUCAUCGCCUCCACCCUGAGCCUUCUGAACGGCUCAGAGAGCGCCAAGCUGUUUGCCCCGCCCAGGGACCCCUCUCCAAAGUGUAUCCGGUGUGCUGUGGUGGGCAACGGAGGCAUUCUGAAUGGGUCCCGCCAGGGUCCCAACAUCGAUGCCCAUGACUAUGUGUUCAGACUCAAUGGAGCUGUGAUCAAAGGCUUCGAGCGCGAUGUGGGCACCAAGACUUCCUUCUAUGGUUUCACUGUGAACACGAUGAAGAACUCCCUUGUCUCCUACUGGAACCUGGGCUUCACCUCUGUGCCACAAGGACAGAAAAAUCCUGUGGAUGAGUCGCUAAG
rnacentral:sRNA from 1 species